AUUGAACGCUGGCGGCAGGCCUAACACAUGCAAGUCGAGCGCGAAAGUCUUCGGAUGAGUAAAGCGGCGAACGGGUGAGUAACGCGUGGGAAUCUGCCCAGUAGUGGGGGACAACAGCCGGAAACGGCUGCUAAUACCGCAUACGCCCUACGGGGGAAAGGGGGGAUCUUCGGACCUCUCGCUAUUGGAUGAGCCCGCGU
rnacentral:rRNA from 1 species